GACGAACGCUGGCGGCGUGCCUAAUACAUGCAAGUAGAACGCAGUUGCGAACGGGUGAGUAACGCGUAGGUAACUUCCUCAUAGCGGGGGAUAACUAUUGGAAACGAUAGCUAAUACCGCAUAAUGUUAGAUAGACUUGCUUUGUAUUGGCUUGUUGGUGAGGUAAAGGCGCACCAAGGAGACGAUCCAUAGCCGACCUGAGAGGGUGAUCGGCCAAACUGGGACUGAGAAUCGGCCCAGACUCCUACGGUAGGCAGCAGUAGGGAAUCUUCGGCAAUGGACGGAAGGCUGACCGAGCAACGCCGCGUGAGUGAAGAAGGUUUUCGGAUCGUAAAGCUCUGUUGUUAGAGAAGCGGUAACUAAACAGAAAGGGACGGCUAACUACGUGCCAGCAGCCGCGGUAAUUC
rnacentral:rRNA from 1 species